CUGCUCCCCUUCCUUGACUUCGUCCGCAGCUAUAUAAUGUCUAUCUAAUAUGGCGCCGUGUGUAAAUGUGGUACCGAAGUUAUCCAGCAGGUCACCCAUUGGGCGCACACUUUCCUCUUUUCCUGCCACCUAGGAACACACUGGACUCUGUUCGUCAUAAGGCAACGCUUCUGGUGGCCUUCUGUGGAUAAAGAGCCACCCUUGUUUCCUGAGUUGGAGAGAGAGGUCAGUGUUCCGUCU